rnacentral:rRNA from 1 species
CACGUAGGGGGCAAGCGUUGUCCGGAUUUAUUGGGCGUAAAGAGCUCGUAGGCGGUUCGGCAAGUCGGGUGUGAAACCCCCAGGCUCAACCUGGGGACGCCACCCGAUACUGCUGUGACUUGAGUCCGGUAGGGGAGCGUGGAAUUCCUGGUGUAGCGGUGAAAUGCGCAGAUAUCAGGAGGAACACCAGUGGCGAAGGCGACUUACUGGUCCAUUACUGACGCUGAGGCUCGAAAGCGUGGGGAGCGAACAGG